rnacentral:snRNA from 1 species
GUUGCUUGCGAUGGAAGU